GACCGUCCGGGAAGGCGAACCGCC
rnacentral:siRNA from 1 species